rnacentral:rRNA from 1 species
GAUGAACGCUGGCGGCGUGCCUAAUACAUGCAAGUCGAGCGAACAGACGAGGAGCUUGCUCCUCUGACGUUAGCGGCGGACGGGUGAGUAACACGUGGAUAACCUACCUAUAAGACUGGGAUAACUUCGGGAAACCGGAGCUAAUACCGGAUAAUAUAUUGAACCGCAUGGUUCAAUAGUGAAAGACGGUUUCGCUGUCACUUAUAGAUGGAUCCGCGCCGCAUUAGCUAGUUGGUAAGGUAACGGCUUACCAAGGCGACGAUGCGUAGCCGACCUGAGAGGGUGAUCGGCCACACUGGAACUGAGACACGGUCCAGACUCCUACGGGAGGCAGCAGUGGGGAAUCUUCCGCAAUGGGCGAAAGCUUGACGGAGCAACGCCGCGUGAGUGAUGAAGGUCUUCGGAUCGUAAAACUCUGUUAUUAGGGAAGAACAAAAGUGUAAGUAACUAUGCACGUCUUGACGGUACCUAAUCAGAAAGCCACGGCUAACUACGUG